rnacentral:rRNA from 1 species
UUAAGCGAAUAAGCGUACACGGUGGAUGCCUAGGCAAUCAGAGGCGAUGAAGGACGUGCUAAUCUGCGAAAAGCGUCGGUAAGGUGAUAUGAACCGUUAUACCCGACGAUAUCCGAAUGGGGAAACCCAGUAUCCAAUGGAUACUAUCAUUAACUGAAUCCAUAGGUUAAUGAGGCGAACCGGGAGAACUGAAACAUCUCAGUACCCCGAGGAAAAGAAAUCAACCGAGAUUCCCCUAGUAGCGGCGAGCGAACGGGGAGCAGCCCAGAGUCUUAAUCAAUAACAGUGUCAGGAGAACGGUCUGGAAAGUCCGGCAGUAAAGGGUGAUAGCCCCGUAUCUGAAGAUGCUGUUAUUGUGAAUUCGACGAGUAGGGCGGGACACGUGUUAUCCUGUCUGAAUAUGGGGGGACCAUCCUCCAAGGCUAAAUACUCCUGAUUGACCGAUAGUGAACCAGUACCGUGAGGGAAAGGCGAAAAGAACCCCGGCGAGGGGAGUGAAAAAGAACCUGAAACCGUGUACGUACAAGCAGUAGGAGCCUCUUUAUGGGGUGACUGCGUACCUUUUGUAUAAUGGGUCAGCGACUUAUAUUCUGUAGCAAGGUUAACCGUAUAGGGGAGCCGUAGGGAAACCGAGUCUUAACUGGGCGAAUGAGUUGCAGGGUAUAGACCCGAAACCCGGUGAUCUAUCCAUGGGCAGGUUGAAGGUUGGGUAACACUAACUGGAGGACCGAACCGACUAAUGUUGAAAAAUUAGCGGAUGACUUGUGGAUGGGGGUGAAAGGCCAAUCAAACCGGGAGAUAGCUGGUUCUCCCCGAAAGCUAUUUAGGUAGCGCCUCGUGAACUCAUCUUCGGGGGUAGAGCACUGUUUCGACUAGGGGGUCAUCCCGACUUACCAACUCGAUGCAAACUGCGAAUACCGAAGAAUGUUAUCACGGGAGACACACGGCGGGUGCUAACGUCCGUCGUGAAGAGGGAAACAACCCAGACCGCCAGCUAAGGUCCCAAAGUCAUGGUUAAGUGGGAAACGAAGUGGGAAGGCUCAGACAGCCAGGAUGUUGGCUUAGAAGCAGCCAUCAUUUAAAGAAAGCGUAAUAGCUCACUGGUCGAGUCGGCCCGCGCGGAAGAUGUAACGGGGCUAAACCAUGCACCGAAGCUGCGGCAGCGACACAUAGUGUUGUUGGGUAGGGGAGCGUUCUGUAAGCCUGCGAAGGUGUACUGUGAGGUAUGCUGGAGGUAUCAGAAGUGCGAAUGCUGACAUAAGUAACGAUAAUGCGGGUGAAAAACCCGCACGCCGGAAGACCAAGGGUUCCUGUCCAACGUUAAUCGGGGCAGGGUGAGUCGACCCCUAAGGCGAGGCUGAAAAGCGUAGUCGAUGGGAAACGGGUUAAUAUUCCCGUACUGGUGGUAACUGCGAUGGGGGAACGGAGAAGGCUAGGUUGUCCGGGCGACGGUCGUCCCGGUUCAAGCAGGUAGGCAGAGUGAUUAGGCAAAUCCGGUCACUUAAUGCUGAGAUGUGAUGACGAACCACUAAGGUGGUGAAGCAAUUGAUGCCCCGCUUCCAGGAAAAGCCUCUAAGCUUCAGGUUACCAACAAUCGUACCCCAAACCGACACAGGUGGUCAGGUAGAGAAUACUCAGGCGCUUGAGAGAACUCGGGUGAAGGAACUAGGCAAAAUGGUGCCGUAACUUCGGGAGAAGGCACGCUGGCGGUAGGUAAAGUCCCUCGCGGACGGCGCUGAAGCCAGUCGAAGAUACCAGCUGGCUGCAACUGUUUAUUAAAAACACAGCACUGUGCAAACACGAAAGUGGACGUAUACGGUGUGACGCCUGCCCGGUGCUGGAAGGUUAAUUGAUGGGGUCAGCCGUAAGGCGAAGCUCCUGAUCGAAGCCCCAGUAAACGGCGGCCGUAACUAUAACGGUCCUAAGGUAGCGAAAUUCCUUGUCGGGUAAGUUCCGACCUGCACGAAUGGCGUAAUGAUGGCCAGGCUGUCUCCACCCGAGACUCAGUGAAAUUGAACUCGCUGUGAAGAUGCAGUGUACCCGCGGCAAGACGGAAAGACCCCGUGAACCUUUACUAUAGCUUGACACUGAACAUUGAGCCUUGAUGUGUAGGAUAGGUGGGAGGCUUUGAAGUGUGGACGCCAGUCUGCAUGGAGCCAACCUUGAAAUACCACCCUUUAACGUUUGAUGUUCUAACCUAGGCCCAUAAACUGGGUCGGGGACCGUGUCUGGUGGGUAGUUUGACUGGGGCGGUCUCCUCCUAAAGAGUAACGGAGGAGCACGAAGGUUGGCUAAGCAUGGUCGGACAUCAUGCGGUUAGUGCAAAGGCAUAAGCCAGCUUGACUGCGAGAGUGACGGCUCGAGCAGGUACGAAAGUAGGUCUUAGUGAUCCGGUGGUUCUGAAUGGAAGGGCCAUCGCUCAACGGAUAAAAGGUACUCCGGGGAUAACAGGCUGAUACCGCCCAAGAGUUCAUAUCGACGGCGGUGUUUGGCACCUCGAUGUCGGCUCAUCACAUCCUGGGGCUGAAGUAGGUCCCAAGGGUAUGGCUGUUCGCCAUUUAAAGUGGUACGCGAGCUGGGUUUAGAACGUCGUGAGACAGUUCGGUCCCUAUCUGCCGUGGGCGUUGGAAGAUUGAGAGGGGUUGCUCCUAGUACGAGAGGACCGGAGUGAACGCACCACUGGUGUUCGGGUUGUCAUGCCAAUGGCAUUGCCCGGUAGCUAAGUGCGGAAGAGAUAACCGCUGAAAGCAUCUAAGCGGGAAACUUGCCUCGAGAUGAGUCUUCCCUGUCGCUUUAAGUGACCUAAAGGAACGUUUAAGACUAAGACGUUGAUAGGCUGGGUGUGUAAGCGUAGCGAUACGUUGAGCUAACCAGUACUAAUGAACCGUGAGGCUUAACCUG